UUGAAAUGCUGCCGGCUGAUAUCGAGGGAAACACGACCCCUCAACUUAGAAGUUCCUGGAACUUCUUGCCAGACGGAAGUGGGUGGGUCGACAAAGCUUCUGGCGUAGAGCAGUGUUCUCGCACGGGCUAACCAAACUCUGCCCCUGAACUGUAUUUCCAGCCCUGAACUGAAAUUAUUUGAUGAUGUUCCCAGCCUGAGACAGGGAGCAAGUGAAAGACCCCCAGUGCUGGAGAGACUCUCACUCAAGUCUCGGGAUAACACGACACCCCCAGUAACUCACAAGAGACCGUCCUUGCUGCAAUCACACGAAGCUUUAAUGAUGAGAUGAGUCGGGAACCAGUGCACUGGGGCCUAGACUCAUAACCCACGCAGGGGGAGAGUUCGACCCCGAGUGACCUGGAGAAGCGAUUUUUAAGGGAAGAAACCACAGCCCAGUGAUCCGGAAUUGGCAGGGGGCACGUCACAGAAAAUUCCCCGAAAAUACCAGUGAAGAUUACAAGGGGGCAACCCCCUGCCUCUGAGGACCACUCCCAAGGUCAUAACCAGCUAGUUCUUAAAACCCAGUGACACUCACAAAGGGGAAACUCCCAGUUUCUCAAGAUUAUUCUCAAGAUUACAACCUAACUUUAUCUUCAGCUAGUUCCUGAAACACAGUCACUAAACUGGCUAAUCCUAGAUUUUUGAUUCUUCUCUUCCUGCUUGGAUUUUUGGCUAUUUUCUUCCUGCUAGGGAGAUCUGGAUUUAUCCAGGUCUUUCAAUAGUAUUAAAUUCACAUUGCUUUAAUUUAAAGCAAACUGUAAUUAAGACUUUACUAAGUAUUUUCAGAAUGUACUUUUUUGUAGUUUGUGUUUCAAUUCCACAACUCUGGCAGUUAUUUUAGAUGGAGUGACUUUAAGCACCAAAAAAAAAAAAAAAAACCAGGGUCUCACUGUGUAGCCCUGGCUGUCCUCAAAACUCACUAUGUAGGCAGUCCAAGCUGUCCUCAAACUCACAGAAACCUCCCUACCUCUGCCUUUCCAGUGCUACCACUAAAAGCAUGGGCCACCACACCCAGCACUGAGUGACAGACAGUCUUAAAUUGUUUCAGUUAACUUAAGUUUACUAGUCUUGUCUUGUAUUCACAGUAAAAUUUUUACUUUUAACAUUUCUAAAAUUCCACGUUGAGACUAUUUAUUUUGAUUGCUGAAUUUCUUUCACUUCUUUAAAUCCUGUAUUGUUUACCCUAAUUCUGGCUUUGUAAGGUAACACACAUAUUGAAUCCUACAGGUUAAAGAACCCAACGCAGCGUAGAUGUGGGGCUCCAUAAUCUAUGCCUAGUUUUGUUUUUGUUUUUUAAAUCAUUGUCCUUUAUGAGAAGGAAGGGCUCUCUGGGUCAUUUAAACACACACAUUGCCUCCCUAGUUCCAUUCUUGCUGUGGUGGUUUGAAAGAAAAUGCCCCCCUAAAGGGAGUGGCACUAUUAGGAAGUGUGGCCUUGUUGAAGGAAGUAUGUCACUGUGAGGGUGGGCCUUGAGGUCUCCUAUGUUCAGGCUACACCCAGUGUCUCAGACCACUUCCUAUUGCCCAUUGAUCAAGAUGUUCAGGACACUUGGCUACUUCUCCAAGAGCUUCUAUAAGAGCUGUUGUGGUUAUGAUAUCUCUUCACAACAAUAGAAACCCCAGCUAAAACAGUUGCCCUUUUAAGACAUAAGGAAAAAAUCUGAACUAUUUAACAUGGUUUUCAACUUAAUUUUAACCUGUUCUGAAGUCUGGCUCACUAAUGGUAUGUUUAUAGAUGUUUACCCCCUCCCCAUAUUUACACCGUUGCAAAGUUGAUUUCCUGAAAUAAAAAGAUACAGUAUUGGAGCCUUGCACUGUUAUUUGAUAACAACACACCCCACCUACUACAUUACUUCCAUGCCUUCCAAUGGCUUCCUCUUAUAAUCCUGCCUCUGCUUUGUGGACAAGGCAAAGGAAAAACUAGAUUUACCUUUGCCUCCAGAGUGAAAUUCCCUGCCCCUAUUGAAAGCUUUGUUUUAAUGGUGCCUGACUUGAACUUUGGGGUAUUCGUAUUUUUCCAGGUUACACACCCUUUCUUGUAUGUGAAGAAUGUAGCAAACGUUGUUUAAAGAAAAAUGUAGGCAUUUCCCUGCAAAUUGAGGGCACCCCUGGGCAAACACUUAAAACUGUAUAAAUAGCACCUGAAUGAAUGGGCUGCCUUGGCUGAGCCCUGUUUCCACGCAGAAAGGAGUCGCCACAUUCUCUUUGAUGCUUGACUGGAGAGGUUGCGAGUGCUCCUCCUUCAUUUAUUUUCCUUCUUGACAAAAAUUGUAUUAUAUGUGUAGUUGUACAGUUUCAGGGAGGAACUGUAAGUGAAGCAUUUCUCCUGUUAGUGGAUCCUUCCCAAUGCAGCAUGCACUUCGGCCUUGGUCAGCUGUCAGUAUCCUCAGCAUCUGAAAUGUACCCCCAUACAUACUUUAAAGAUUCUCUCCUCAACUAGUCACCCUCUCCCCCUUUUGCAUAUUGUAAGAUAAAUGACCAUGAAGGAGCCUCGCCCCCAAAGAUAAGUUCCUAGAAUGUGAAGAACCUGCUAAGAAUAUACAGUUUACAGGUUACCUUGAACAAACACAAGCUUCACAAAGGCUCAAGUCUCAGGACAGAAAAAAAAAACAUGAAUGGAAAUAUUUAAGGCAAAUUCAAAUAUUCUGAAAUAUUGAGGAACCUUAAAAAAUUUAACUAAACUGAAAAAAAAAUGGCUCAAAUGUUUUGUUAGAGAUACAAAAAUUUACAAUUUGCUCCAGUGUCAUUAUAGGGGAACCAGGAACCCUAGAGAGAGAGAGAGAGAGAGAGAGAGAGAGAGAGAGAGAGAGAGAGAGAGAGAAGAGGAGUGUGGUGGUUUGAAUGGGAAUGGCCCUGUAGACUCAUAUGGGAAUGUUUAGUGAUCAAGGAGUGGAACUGUUUGGGAAGGACUAGAAGGAUUGGAUGUGUGGUUUUAUUGGAAUAGGUGUGGUCUUCUUGGAAGAAGUGAAAAACAUGUUACUACUGACCUACAUUUUCUCUUAAUUAUAAGAAAUUGUAAAAUAAAGUUCACAUUCUUUGGUCCUUUCACAUUACACAGAAGAAUGCUUUACCCAUGUUUGUCUUUGGACAAUAUAAAAGUCUUUAUUUAAAAAUGUUCUGUUUCUCUAAAUGUACACAGAGGGAAAGAUUUGGAUUAAAAUAUGUUAAAAGCACAGAAAACAAAGAAGUUCUGGUUAAACAAAAUCAAGAGAACCUGGUGAUGAUAUUCAGAAAGUUAAUAGGAGUCAGCCACGGGAGAGCAGGAUGUGGGGAACAGACACAGGAGGGUUAGAACACAUGGUGAGCAAGUACCUCCAACUUCCCCAGACCUCUGCUGAUUUUAUUUGAGAAGUUAGUAAGCAGCUCAGAAAUGUCCACUUUAUAGUCUUACUUCUAAUUGUUUCAUAUAAUGAUAGGAUUUUAUUGACUAAUACAAAAUCAGAUAAGAGACUGCUUCUAUCCAGAAGAUAUAUCUGGCAAACUCCCUGAUCAAAGGGUCUGGCAGUUGGAGAAGUAGAUACACCCUGGGAAGCACUGCUGAAGUAUAGGCAGCUUUCUCUUGUGAGCUGGUAUUUAAAGCCGUAUUUUAUUCCUUUCUAUAUGCAGAGAAAGUUCCCUGGAUUCACAGCAAAGAAUAAGUUAUGGCAGCUUCUUGACUGAAAGGCUAAAAUAGUGUGUUUCUGUUCCUCUUUCAAUUAUGGGAUAUGUUUCUCAUUCUUCACCGGAAGUCCUGAGUAAAUGGCACUAGAGAUACAACAGUAGGCAAGAUGUGAGGCCAUUGCUAAGACACCCUAGAAGUUUGUGGCCUUGCCUGUGGAUGCUCCACCAGAUGGCUUUUGAAGUCUUUGUACAUUCAAGCUGGCUCAUUCUUGCAUCCAGUAUGUCCUCUGAAGGCUUGUGGCCAAAGGCUGGCUGGUGAGAAGUGGCUGGUUAUAAUUUCCCACAGGUGAAUCUCGAGGGUUCCUCACUCCUCUCAUCAGAUGUCUUGUGUUUUUUGAGUCUUCGUGGCCCCAGAGAUCGCAGGGUCCCCAUGCUGGCUGUCUCUCUGAGAUUGCUGAGCUUUUUUCAGUUCCCUGCAAUCAAAGGAGACAGGCUGGGUAAGUCCUUCCCUAGUUUAAGGCAGUAUUUAUAAUCACAGCUAAUCUCUUUAUUUCAGUUUUACAAAAUCAAGCCCAAGAUAUGUGCAGAAUGAAGAAUCAAUUUUAAUGAUUCUUACUAUCAUUAAAAAGAAUGAUACAUUCAUGGUUCAUAAAUCACCUUUAAAAUUAAAAUUAUAAGUGAACAACUCUUUAGGCAAAAUAUAAGAACUGUGAGGGCAACAAACCACAGAUCUCACUGAAACAGUUAAUCAUUGUUAUCUGAUAUACAUAUAGCAGAUAUAUACAUAUAUAUACUAUAAAUAUGUAAUAUAUAUUCAGUGGCUAUUUUCACCCAAUGAAGACAGGAUUGAAUCAUUACAGGAGAAAUCAUACGUACUAGAAACCGUGAACCAUUUAAUAUCUAAUCCUUUAUAGAACAAGUUUACCACCCUUUGGUCUAAACCAGCAGUUCUCAGCCCAUGGGUCAUGACACCUUUGGGAAUCAAAUGACCCUUUCAUAGGGGUUGCUUAAGACCAUAGGUAAAUACAGAUAUUUAAUUACAAUUCAUAAAGGUAGCAAAAUUACAGUUAUGAAGUAGCAAUGAAAAUAAUUCUAUGGGUGGGGUCAACACCACAUGAGGAAUUGUAUUGAAGGGUCGCAAGCAUUAGGAAGGUUGAGACUCACUGGUCUAGACAGUUUCAAGUUACCAUCUGCCCCAUCUCUGUGGUUUCUAUGAUCAUUUAUACUGAAGAAUGACAGACACUUGUACCUCCAACUGAGCAUCACAGAGCACUACACACACUUUCAAGAAAUUGUCAUGCUUCUGAGCAUCAUAUUUUGGUAUUUUGUAGUUUAUUAUCUAAAAUAAAAACUCAAAAAGAGCAAUGAGUAUGAAGUGGUUUAGGAGUGGCUGUUCAAGUUUUCAAACUAAUCUUCCAAGAGGGACUUUGUAGCUAAAGAAAGUUGGACUUCUAAGCAAUUUUCAAGCAGGGACCAUAUUUCAUUUUCCUCUUUUUCUUCAAUAGUGCACAUAUGAUGCAAAAAUCAACUGAGAAUUUCUUCAAAAUUCUACUUAAAUGCCAUUGCAUGACCUCUUCCAGUCACACCCAAAUUAAUUCCCAUUUGUUUUAUGAGGGAAUAAAUUAAUAAACGAUAACAGGCCUACAUCAACCAAGGGUCAUAUUGUCUUCUUUGCUCAGAAAAAGAUAUAAUUCUCUAAAUAUGUUAUCACGAUCCGAUGUCUGCCUUCUGUCCCUGCAGCUUGGUACUUUCUAAAGAGGUCUCUACUCACUUAAGAUCCUCAAACAAACUACUAAACUAAGAUUAUCUUGGGUGUUCACCUAACAGUUCCUUUGAUACCUGCUGUCCCUCAGAGUCCAAGAACUCCCUUGUUACUGGUCUUUCCUUGCAAUUCUUUUUCUUGCUUCUUUUGCAUUACCUGGGAUUCUCUCAAGUUGCCUAGACACAGAGCUACAGAGCCACACACCAUAAAACAGACACUGCCAGGUUUCUUGUGGGCAGAGCGUAUAUCUGAGGGUGUAGAAUGUGCAUAGACUUGGAUCCCUAGACACACCAUGGUCUAGUCAGAUCACUGUGAGUUGCUCCCACAGACCCUUUCUUGGU